rnacentral:lncRNA from 1 species
UGAGCCAGAGGAGGCCCAAGUGCCGCGCCCCCGGUGAGGCCCAGCGCAUCCGGCGACACCGGUUCUCUAUCAACGGCCACUUCUACAAUCAUAAGACCUCCGUGUUUACUCCAGCCUAUGGAUCCGUGACCAAUGUGAGGGUCAACAGCACCAUGACAACCCUGCAGGUGCUCACCCUGCUGCUGAACAAAUUUAGGUUCUCUCCCAUCUCCAAGCACCGUGAUCUGACUUCCUGUGACUGCCUGUGCAGGUGGAAGAUGGCCCCAGUGAGUUCGCACUCUACAUCGUUCACGAGUCUGGGGAGCGGACAAAAUUAAAAGACUGCGAGUACCCGCUGAUUUCCAGAAUCCUGCAUGGGCCAUGUGAGAAGAUCGCCAGGAUCUUCCUGAUGGAAGCUGACUUGGGCGUGG